CGGGGUUUAGCUCAGUUGGAAGAGCGCGCGGUUUGGGACCGUGAGGUCGGAGGUUCGAGCCCUCUAACCCCGA
rnacentral:tRNA from 1 species